UACGUAGGUGGCAAGCGUUGUCCGGAAUUAUUGGGCGUAAAGAGCUCGUAGGCGGUUUGUCGCGUCUGCCGUGAACGUCCGGGGCUCAACUCCGGAUCUGCGGUGGGUACGGGCAGCCUAGCGGGAUGUAGGGGAGACUGGAAUUCCUGGUGUAGCGGUGAAAUGCGCAGAUAUCUGGAGGAACACCGAUGGCGAAGGCAGGUCUCUGGGCAUUAACUGACGCGGAGGAGCGAAAGCAUGGGGAGCGAACAGG
rnacentral:misc_RNA from 1 species